rnacentral:rRNA from 1 species
GAUGAACGCUGGCGGCGUGCCUAAUACAUGCAAGUCGAGCGAACAGACGAGGAGCUUGCUCCUCUGACGUUAGCGGCGGACGGGUGAGUAACACGUGGAUAACCUACCUAUAAGACUGGGAUAACUUCGGGAAACUGGAGCUAAUACCGGAUAAUAUAUUGAACCGCAUGGUUCAAUAGUGAAAGACGGUUGUGCUGUCACUUAUAGAUGGAUCCGCGCCGCAUUAGCUAGUUGGUAAGGUAACGGCUUACCAAGGCGACGAUGCGUAGCCGACCUGAGAGGGUGAUCGGCCACACUGGAACUGAGACACGGUCCAGACUCCUACGGGAGGCAGCAGUAGGGAAUCUUCCGCAAUGGGCGAAAGCCUGACGGAGCAACGCCGCGUGAGUGAUGAAGGUCUUCGGAUCGUAAAGCUCUGUUAUUAGGGAAGAACAAAUGUGUAAGUAACUGUGCACGUCUUGACGGUACCUAAUCAGAAAGCCCCGGCUAACUACGUG